CCCCGAGCUUAACUUGGGAACUGCGUUUUGAACUGGUAAGCUAGAGUAUGUCAGAGGGGGGUAGAAUUCCACGUGUAGCAGUGAAAUGCGUAGAGAUGUGGAGGAAUACCGAUGGCGAAGGCAGCCCCCUGGGAUAAUACUGACGUUCAUGCUCGAAAGCGUGGGUAGCAAACAGGAUUAGAUACCCUGGUAGUCCACGCCCUAAACGAUGUCAAUUAGCUGUUGGGCAACAUGAUUGCUUAGUAGCGUAGCUAACGCGUGAAAUUGACCGCCUGGGGAGUACGGUCGCAAGAUUAAAACUCAAAGGAAUUGACGGGGACCCGCACAAGCGGUGGAUGAUGUGGAUUAAUUCGAUGCAACGCGAAGAACCUUACCUGGUCUUGACAUGUACGGAAUCUUCCAGAGACGGAAGAGUGCCUUCGGGAGCCGUAACACAGGUGCUGCAUGGCUGUCGUCAGCUCGUGUCGUGAGAUGUUGGGUUNNNNNNNNCAACGAGCGCAACCCUUGUCAUUAGUUGCCACCAUUCAGUUGGGCACUCUAAUGAGACUGCCGGUGACAAACCGGAGGAAGGUGGGGAUGACGUCAAGUCCUCAUGGCCCUUAUGACCAGGGCUUCACACGUCAUACAAUGGUCGGUACAGAGGGUAGCCAAGCCGCGAGGUGGAGCCAAUCUCAGAAAACCGAUCGUAGUCCGGAUUGCACUCUGCAACUCGAGUGCAUGAAGUCGGAAUCGCUAGUAAUCGCAGGUCAGCAUACUGCGGUGAAUACGUUCCCGGGUCU
rnacentral:rRNA from 1 species